rnacentral:rRNA from 1 species
UACGUAGGGGGCAAGCGUUGUCCGGAAUCAUUGGGCGUAAAGCGCGUGUAGGCGGCUUGGUAAGUCCGCUCUGAAAGCCCGGGGCUCAACCCCGGGAGGCGGGUGGAUACUGCUGAGCUCGAGUCCGGAAGAGGCGAGUGGAAUUCCUGGUGUAGCGGUGAAAUGCGCAGAUAUCAGGAGGAACACCGAUGGCGAAGGCAGCUCGCUGGGCCGUAACUGACGCUGAGGAGCGAAAGCAUGGGGAGCGAACAGG